ACUGUUGUGCUUUUUGUUGAUAUUUAUGUUGAUUGAAGUUCUAUGAUAGAUUGUAAUGAAAAUUUUGAUUAUUGUUGUGAUGGAGUUUGUCAUUUUUGAUUAAUUCUGUUUACCUGUUAUGUGAGAUUUAGUUUGUAUAGAUUUUGAAAAACCUGAUGAAAAAAGCAGUGCCCCAUUACCUAUUGUGAAUGGGACACUCGUUAAAUUCAGGAAUAAUGACUCGUGAAUCGUUCUUGGGUGAACCUCUGUUAUAUUUAGUGGCUGAAGGUUCAGUUAAUGAUUCAACAUUGUUUAUUGGAACAGAUAUUGACUAUUGAUUUUGUUCAUUUGUGUGCAAGACUGCUGUUGAAAAUGAAAUGUUUUAACUGUUAUCAGCUGAUUUCACUUUGUAAUUACUAGUUGGUUUGACAUUAGGCUAUAAAUUUAUGUGAAAUAGUUUUCUAAUUUAUGCCUGCGCCUUGUAUCAUUGUUGUUAGUUUUAUAACUUAAGCAGUGGAUUGUUAAUUGCACACAAAUGUUCUAAAAAAUGCUUCUAAAACAACCAAGAAUUACCCGCUGGCCAUACUACAUCUAGUCAUCUGUAACUUAAAUGUUAUUGAGCUAUGUUGAUGUCUGAUCAUUUUCAUUGUUAUAUUCAUUAGCAUUGAGAUUAUUCUGAUUUUCCCCCUAAUAAUCUUUGAACAUUCUGUUUGGAAAAAUGCUUGUAAACAGGGCCGUCUGGGGAAAUUUCAGGGCCCUGUGCUAAAAUAUGAAUUAGGCCUCAAAUAAUAAAAAAAAGAUGUAUAUUACAAAAAUAAAUAAAUAAUAAAAAUAUUAUUUUUUUAUAAAAUUAAAACAGGUUACUUAAAAUAAGAUAAAUAAUAUUAUUAAAUAAUCAAUAAUUAUAAUUUUAAACAAAACUAUUAUAUGAAUUUAUUUGAGAUAUAUCUAUAUUUCAUUGAAAAGAAUGAAAUUUAUAGUACAUAUGAAAAAAAAAUAUCAUAUCUAAAAAACAUUAUGAAAACAUUUAAUAAAAGAGUAAUUAUUAUAUAAAAAAUAAAGAUACAACACAAAAGAAUUUAAAAUGCAAAUAAACAUAAUAAACUAAUCAAGAUUAUGUAAUUAUUUAUCUACAAAUAAACAGAAUUAAAAUAAAUAUAUACUUUUCAAUUUUCAAUUUCAUUCUCUAAAUUUAUUUUUAUUAAAUAAAACACCGAUUUCUAAAUUUUGAGGCCCCUAUAAUUUUGAGGCCCUGUGCCGUCGCCCACCUUGCACGCCUCAAAAACCGGCCCUGAUUGUAAAAUAUCUUUAUAUAUCAGUUGAAUGGAAGAAAGAGGGGUAUCUUGUUGGUGUUUUGUAAAUCCUGAUGAAAAAAGCAGUGCCCCAUUACCGCAGUGAAUGGGACACUCGUUAAAUUCAGGAAAAGCAACUCGUGAAUCGUUCUUGGGUGAACCUCUGUUAUAUUAAGUUGCUGAAGGUUCAGUAAAUGAUUCAACACUUGUUUUUCUUGACAAUGAUUGUUUAUUAACUGUGUUCUAUCUGUGAAUUGAUUUCUGUCAGUAGUAAAAUGUCUGAACUGUUAUCAGAUGAAUUCACUUUUAAUGAUUGCUUUAACUUAAAGGAUAAAGCUAUAAAUUUAUUAAUACCUGUUUCCUAAUUAUGUCUGCUUCUUGUAUUGCCGGUUUUGGUCUCAUCACUUGAUUAGUGAAUUGUUAAUUGCACACCAAUAUUGUAAACAACUGUUAUUUAACAACUCAUAAUUGCUUGCUGAUUAUAUGACAUUCAGUCAUCAACAAGUGGGGUAAUUUCAAUGUUAUUGAGCAAUGUUGAUGUGAUCUUAUCAUUUUCACUGUUAUAUUUAGGAGCAUUAUGAUUACUCCAAUAUAUUGUUCUUAAAAAUCUUUAUGUUUUUAGUUUAUAAAAACUUCUUAUAUUAGUGGAAUGAGAGAGAUGGAGAGGGUUAUUUUGUUGCAUGUGUUUUCUAAAACCUGAUGAAAAAAGCAGUGCCCCAUUACCUCUGUGAAUGCGACACUCGUUAAAUUCAGGAAAAUUGACUCGUGAAUCGUUCUUGGGUGAACCUCUGUUAUAAAAAGUGGCUGAAGGUUCAGUAAAUGAUUCAACAUUUGUAUUUCUGGACAAUAAUAUACCAUUACUAAAUCCAUGACUUGGCUUCCGUCAGUUAUAGAAAGUUUCAACCAUUAUCAGCUGAUUUCACUUUGUAAUUACUCUUGUUUGACAUCAGGCUAUAAUUUUAUUUUAGGUAGUUGCCUAAUUUAUGUCUGCCUCUUGUUUCAUAGUUCGUUUUAUUACUUGAGUCUUGAGUAGUGGAUUGUUACAAAUGCACAUAAACACCGUAACAUAAGCUAUUCAAACAACCAAUAAUUGCUUGUGAGUUGUUUGUCUGUGACAUCCAGUCAUCUGUAUUUUUUGUUAUUUUAAUAUCGGUGAGCAAUGUUGACAUUAUCCAAUUAUUCUUGCUAUUAUUUAAAAAACAAUGUGUUUAUGAGAUUAAUUUUUCUAAAAUUCUUCCAAUAUCUUUAGAUUCAUUAAAAUGUAAA
rnacentral:lncRNA from 1 species